GUGGUUGCCAUAGUUCUAUGUUCCUUUGUUUGUGCCCUUUUCUCUCUGUAAUAUGAUUUUCUACUGGUGCUCUGACCAUCACAGAAAGACUGCCAGGAAAGUGGAGAGUAUUUGUGUUCCCCCAAAAGUGUCUCAUUUGUCUGAGGCCUUGGCAACCUGCUGUGUUGGGAUUUGAGCACUGCUAACAUUAUUCAGAAUAGUUGAUGAUAACUCUAUUUUUCCCCAGGGUCAGCAGGACCUAUAUAUUCAUUAGAGCUGCCUGUGACUACUCUGCCUGAAGACAUGCUCAAUAAGGGUUAAAGAUAUCUGAAGCCAUGAAAUUUAUCACUCAUUCCUUUUCUGGAUCUUAACUCCUGUGAACUUCAAGACAUCUUAUCUACAAUUUUUUCUUCUCAUCUAGUACCUACCGCCUGUGAUUUUCAACUUAGUGGGUGUGUCUGUAAGAAUUGGGGCCAAACAUUUUAUUUGUACUACAUUGCACAUUCGUGGGAUGAUUCUUCAAUCAGGAAAAUGAUUCUUUAAAACGUUUGUAUAAGGAACUUGAAAUUUCUGAAUAUUUCUUCACCUCACAAUUCUGAAAUAAAUGACUGUGCUCUGUCAUGGUGAAAAAAAAUAAAAAUAUAAGCGGUCAUCACACCCCUGACUUCUCAGGAAGAGAGAUAAAAAACAACAAAGGGAAGUCAGGAAUCAAGCCACAUAUUGUUAGCAGGAUUCUGGGCUGAAGGAUCUUACUAGAAACAGGAUCUGGAAAAGGAAUCACCAAAUCACUCUAGUGUCUUUGCUAAGAAGACUUCAACGAAAUCAUGAAGAUUCAGACUGAAACAACAUACCAACAAAAACAACUCUGUGGUAAAAGAUCAUGUCAAAAAAGUAAUUUUUGACAAUCGGAUUUCCAAUUUUCCUUUCAGUUUACAUAAAAUACUCUUACCCUAGUAGUUUAUGUUCUUGGUUUAAUAAAC